rnacentral:rRNA from 1 species
CCUAAAGGCUUUAAGAUGUACAUUGCAUGAGAAAUUUUUAACAUCCACUUUCUCUGUAAUUUUCAUGGAGCGCUUUAUCUUAAAUGACCACCACAGAAUCGCAACCGAUAUAAAAUGAAGAUUCUCCAAGAAAUUUGUCACCUGCAAUGAUCAGUAAUGUCUUUUGCUUUGUAAUUUUCACAAACCAAUAUGUUCGAAGUGGUCAGGAUAGAUUCAAAAUGGCUUUAAUGUGACGUUUCCAUGUGACUCUAGAUAACUUCAGGCCAAUCUCAUGCCCCCAUGGUAGCGACGAUGCAUGCGAAUGUCUGCCCUAUCAACUUUCGAUGCUACUUCCUGUGCCUACCAUGGUGACCAUGGGUAACAGGGAAUCAGGGUUCGAUUCCAGAGAUGGAGCAUGAGAAAUAGCUACUACAUCCAAGGGAGGCAGCAGGUGCGCAAAUUACCCACUCCCGACCCAGGGAGGUAGUCACGAAAAAUAAUAAUACAGGACUCUUUCAAGGCCCUGUAAUUGGAAUGAGUACACUUUAAAUCCUUUAACAAGGUUCAUUGGAGGGCAAGUCUGGUGCCGCAGCCAUGGUAAUUCCAGCUCCAAUAGUGUAUAUUAAAGUUGCUGCAAUUAAAAAGCUCACAGUUGGAUCUUGGGAUCUAGCUGGCGGUCUACCGCGAGGCGAGCUACCGCCUGUCCCAGCCCCUGCCUCUUGGCGCUCCCUUGAGGCUCUUAACUGAGUGUCCUGGGGGUCUGAAGCAUUUACUUUGAAAAAAUUUGAGUGUUCAAAGCAGGCUGGUCGCUGGAACACUCCAGCUAGGAAUAAUGGAAUAGGACUCCGGUUCUAUUUUGUUGGUUUUUGGAACUGGGGCCAUGAUUAAGAGGGAUGGCCGGGGGCAUUUGUAUUCGGACCGGCACAAGAUGGACCAAAGUGAAAGCAUUUGCCAAGAAUAUUUUCAUUAAUCAAGAACGAAAGUCGCAGGUUUGAAGACUAUCAGAUACCAUCGUAGUUCCGACCAUAACAAUGCCGACUAGAGAUCCAGCGGCGUUAUUCCCAUGACCCGCUGGGUAGUUUAUUGGAAACCUAAGUCUUUGGGUUCCAGGGGAGGGGGGGGUGUGUGUGGUUGCAAAGCUGAACCUUAAAGAAAUUGACAGAAGGGCACCACUAGGAGUGGAGCCUGCAGCUUAAUUGACUCACCCGGCCUGGACACAGAAAGGACUGACAGAUUGAUAGCUCUUUCUCGAUUCUGUGGGUGGUGGUGCAUGGCUGUUCUUAGUUGGUGGAGCGAUUUGUCUGGUUAAUGGCGAUAAUGAACAAGACUCUGGCAUGCUAACUAGUUAUGCGACCCCCCCCCCGAGUGGUCAGUGUCUAACUUUUUAGAGGGACAAGUGGUGUUCAGCCACCCAAGAUUGAGCAAUAACAGGUUUGUGACCUGUGAAGAUUCACAUGUUAAUAGAUUGAGCUCCUUGAGUCUAUUGCUAAGAGGCAGAUUUUCCAAUCCUUUAAUGCUUCUCAUGGCUCUUUGCUGACCCUUCUCCAAUUUAUCAACAUCCUUCUUGAAUUGUACACACCAGAACUGGACACAAGAUUCCAGCAGCGGUUGCACCAGUGCCAAAAUAC